GACGAACGCUGGCGGCGUGCCUAAUACAUGCAAGUCGAGCGAAGCGGCGGAUGGGUGCGCAACGCGUGGGUAACCUGCCCUUAAGUCUGGGAUACCAUUUGGAAACAGAUGCUAAUACCGGAUACUAAUGGUUGGACCUGUGAUGCAUUAGCUAGUCGACAAGGCAACGGCUAACCAAGGCGAUGAUGCAUAGCCGAGUUGAGAGACUGAGAGGCCACAUUGGGACUGAGACACGGCCCAAACGCCUACGGGAGGCAGCAGUAGGGAAUAUGCCACAAUGGACGAAAGUCUGAUGGAGCAACGCCGCGUGAGUGAAGAAGGUUUUCGGAUCGUAAAGCUCUUUUGUUGGGGAAGCGGUAAUCAACCAGAAAGCCACGGCUAACUACGUGCCAGCAGCCGCGGUAAUUC
rnacentral:rRNA from 1 species